rnacentral:lncRNA from 1 species
CAUGUACGCAGCCAGCAGUAUCCCAUGAUGCCUCUACUCACCCAGGAGAGAAUCCCAAAGAGAGAGGACUCAAGUUCUUUUACUCUUAGGGGGUUUGGGCCUGUUCCUGCUUCCAUACAAGUUGAUAGCAAAAGCCCAUUGCUGUUCUUCUCCCCCUCCUGUAGGAGAAGGGGCAGGUACAGGAUGUCUUGAGCCUUCCAGCAUGUGGCAGUUUCACAAGGUGUGAUUUGUUGAAAAAUGGAAUGCACCUAUGCAGGAGACCCACACC